rnacentral:rRNA from 1 species
GUGGGGAAUAUUGGACAAUGGGCGAAAGCCUGAUCCAGCCAUGCCGCGUGUGUGAAGAAGGUCUUCGGAUUGUAAAGCACUUUAAGUUGGGAGGAAGGGCAGUAAGUUAAUACCUUGCUGUUUUGACGUUACCGACAGAAUAAGCACCGGCUAACUUCGUGCCAGCAGCCGCGGUAAUACGAAGGGUGCAAGCGUUAAUCGGAAUUACUGGGCGUAAAGCGCGCGUAGGUGGUUUUGUAAGUUGGAGGUGAAAUCCCCGGGCUCAACCUGGGAACUGCCACCAAAACUGCAUGACUAGAGUACGGUAGAGGGUAGUGGAAUUUCCUGUGUAGCGGUGAAAUGCGUAGAUAUAGGAAGGAACACCAGUGGCGAAGGCGACUACCUGGACUGAUACUGACACUGAGGUGCGAAAGCGUGGGGAGCAAACAGGAUUAGAAACCCGGGUAGUCC